UACAGAGGUGGCAAGCGUUGUUCGGAAUUACUGGGCGUAAAGGGCGCGUGAGGCGGCCUUCUAAGUCAGACGUGAAAUCCCCCGGCUUAACCUGGGAACUGCGUCUGAUACUGGGAGGCUUGAGUAUGGGAGAGGGAUGUAGAAUUCCAGGUGUAGCGGUGAAAUGCGUAGAUAUCUGGAGGAAUACCGGUGGCGAAGGCGGCAUCCUCGGACCAUAACGUGACGCUGAGGCGCGAAAGCUAGGGGAGCAACGGG
rnacentral:rRNA from 1 species